AGGUAAGCUACUAAGAGCGAAUGGUGGAUGCCUUGACUGGUAAAGGCGAUGAAGGACGUACUAGACUGCGAUAAGCUACGGGGAGCUGUCAAGAAGCUUUGAUCCGUAGAUUUCCGAAUGGGGCAACCCAAUGUAUAGAGAUAUACAUUACCUAUAUAGGAGCGAACGAGGGGAAUUGAAACAUCUUAGUACCCUCAGG
rnacentral:rRNA from 1 species